GCCUAAGGCAUGAGUACAUGCUGUGGAAACAGAAAUAUGUAUGAAGGGAUGUAUGAAACCACAGAAUAAAUGGAAUCCACAUUCUUGAAGUAGCUACAACUCUACUUGAGGGUAAGUAAUUAAGUAUUUUAAAAUGCAAAAAAGUAUAUAUUAUGAGGUAGAAACUAAAUCUUUAUUUUUAGGAUAAAACAUUUGAAUUCAAAGGGACUUUCAGCAUGUCGGGAAGCAAGUCUGACACAGGAAUAAUGUCCUCUGAAGCAAAGGCUUUUUCAGUGGCAAAGCUUAAGAAUGCUGAUCUGCAUGAUGGGAAAAUUUAGUGUUGGCACAAGAAAUUAACUAAUAUGUUUUUCUGUUGUCUGAAAAGGAAAAUAAUGCUUGGCUUCAGGUAUUUGGAAAUACUGCACAUUCGGGCUAAGAAUGAGAUGACCAUUUUCUCAUUUUCAACUAAUUAUUUCAAGAUACCAAAACAAAACAAACAAAUGCCAUUGGUGAGUACCUGCUAUAUACAAAAUGAGCUGUAUGUAGUGAAGUGGCCAGGAAAGGCAGAGUUCACAGCCAUAGGUAGGGCAGGCCCUGGCCACCCUUUAGGGGAGCAAGAAAGGUAAACCAGGUGGAUGAAACAUAUCCUAUAGCAUAUUGUAAUUGGUAAGUGGAUGCAAGUGGUUUCUUAGCAAGUCAGAGGCAUCGGGCUGUCUAAAAGAGGUAAGAAGAUUAUACUGACAGAGAGGUGGAGCAAACAAUGAGGUGUCUGGGAGGAAGCAUUUGAAGAGCUGCAAGGAGGUCUGAUUUAUGGUAGAAAAACUGAGUCCCCAGGAACUGGGGAAGUGACUGGCAAGAAGAGGACAGGGCUUCUAGUCUAGAGGAAUCAAGGCAUAGGACAUAUUGCUUACCUAGAGAUUCAGUCAGGGGUAUGGGAUCCAGCCUGGGUAUAGUUUUUGGAAGGCUGCUUACUUGAUUGGGUUGGAGUGGGACUAACAGCAAGUGUGAUUUGAUGCUGACCCUUCAGUACUGGCCUGCGUAGCUUACAACAGUUACCCUGUCUAAGAAGGAGAUUGAUUCCAGAACCCAGAAUAAAGCAGAGAAUGCAGAUGGUGGUCACAUGGGUUCAGAUAUUCCAUGUAGAACUGUGGGAUGAAGUGCAAUCAGCUGUGACUGGUUGGAAUAAGGACCUGCCUUAUCCCAUGGAGAGUUAGAGAAUCUGUUCCAACAAGGACAGAAGGUCCAGGUGGGAAGAGCUCUGGAAAACAAAACUCUCUGACAGCGCUCUUGAAAGCUCUGCUGGCAUCCCAAGGCACGUAGAUAGUACCUAUACAUCUCAUCAGGAACAUGGAUGGUUCUCUGCUAUCAGCUGAAGUGCUGUGACCACAAAACUGAAAAUUCCCAUUCUGUGUCCUUGCCAAUAAAGAAUGUCCAUCAGAGCACGCCCAGUAUCCUAGCUCCUUAUCCAGACUGUGCUUCUCAAUGUGACAAGGAAGACUGCAACCCUAUUUGCUUCUGAUA
rnacentral:lncRNA from 1 species